rnacentral:ncRNA from 1 species
AUAGAAGCAAUGAUAAGGAGUAGUAUAUAGUAACUGGAUUUCAGAGAGAAGAUGUUUGGUGAAAAUCUUCAUGAAGGUUCUAUAGAAGGCGCCUUUGAGCUGUGCAUUGAAAGGUAGUAAUAUUGAUUAGAUGGCACCGGAGUUCCUACCGUUAGAAUGGGAGUAGCAUAAGGAAGCAUACAUUCCCGUGCUAACAAAGAGCAGAGACAUCUGAAAUUAGGUGGUACCACGGACUUAUUAUAGAGUUCGCCCUAAGC